rnacentral:rRNA from 1 species
AGAGUUUGAUCAUGGCUCAGGAUGAACGCUGGCGGCGUGCCUAACACAUGCAAGUCGAGCGAUUCACUUCGGUGAAGAGCGGCGGACGGGUGAGUAACGCGUGGGUAACCUGCCUCAUACACAUGGAUAACGUACCGAAAGGUAUGCUAAUACAAGAUGAUAUAAGAGAUUCGCAUGGAUUUCUUAUCAAAGCUCCGGCGGUAUGAGAUGGACCCGCGUCUGAUUAGCUAGUUGGUAAGGUAACGGCUUACUAAGGCGGCGAUCAGUAGCCGACCUGAGAGGGUGAUCGGCCACAUUGGAACUGAGACACGGUCCAAACUCCUACGGGAGGCAGCAGUGGGGAAUAUUGCACAAUGGGCGAAAGCCUGAUGCAGCAACGCCGCGUGAGCGAUGAAGGCCUUCGGGUCGUAAAGCUCUGUCCUCAAGGAAGAUAAUGACGGUACUUGAGGAGGAAGCCCCGGCUAACUACGUGCCAGCAGCCGCGGUAAUACGUAGGGGGCUAGCGUUAUCCGGAUUUACUGGGCGUAAAGGGUGCGUAGGUGGUUUCUUAAGUCAGGAGUGAAAGGCUACGGCUCAACCGUAGUAAGCUCUUGAAACUGGGAAACUUGAGUGCAGGAGAGGAAAGUGGAAUUCCUAGUGUAGCGGUGAAAUGCGUAGAUAUUAGGAGGAACACCAGUAGCGAAGGCGGCUUUCUGGACUGUAACUGACACUGAGGCACGAAAGCGUGGGGAGCAAACAGGAUUAGAUACCCUGGUAGUCCACGCCGUAAACGAUGAGUACUAGGUGUCGGGGGUUACCCCCCUCGGUGCCGCAGCUAACGCAUUAAGUACUCCGCCUGGGGAGUACGCUCGCAAGAGUGAAACUCAAAUGAAUUGACGG